GGGGAUGUAGCUCAGUGGCAGAGUAUUUGUCUAGCAUAUAGAAGGCAUGGGUUCCAUCUCCA
rnacentral:tRNA from 1 species